rnacentral:rRNA from 1 species
AUUGAACGCUGGCGGCAGGCUUAACACAUGCAAGUCGAGCGGGGUGAUGGUGCUUGCACUAUCACUUAGCGGCGGACGGGUGAGUAAUGCUUAGGAAUCUGCCUAUUAGUGGGGGACAACAUCUCGAAAGGGAUGCUAAUACCGCAUACGUCCUACGGGAGAAAGCAGGGGAUCACUUGUGACCUUGCGCUAAUAGAUGAGCCUAAGUCGGAUUAGCUAGUUGGGGGGGUAAAGGCCUACCAAGGCGACGAUCUGUAGCGGGUCUGAGAGGAGGAUCCGCAAACCUGGGACUGAGACACAGCCCAGACUCCUACAGGAGGAAGCAGUGGGGAAUAUUGGACAAUGGGGGGAACCCGGAUCCAGCCAUGCCGCGUGUGUGAAGAAGGCCUUAUGGUUGUAAAGCACUUUAAGCGAGGAGGAGGCUCUUUUGGUUAAUACCCAAGAUGAGUGGACGUUACUCGCAGAAUAAGCACCGGCUAACUCUGUGCCAGCCGCCGCCGUAA